CUACGGGGCGCAGCAGUGGGGAAUAUUGCACAAUGGAGUAAACUCUGAUGCAGCGACGCCGCGUGGAGGAAGAAGGUCUUCGGAUUGUAAACUCCUGUUGUCGGGGACGAUAAUGACGGUACCCGACAAGGAAGUGACGGCUAACUACGUGCCAGCAGCCGCGGUAAAACGUAGGUCACAAGCGUUGUCCGGAAUUACUGGGUGGAAAGGGAGCGCAGGCGGGAUGAUAAGUUGGAGGUGAAAUCUGUGGGCUCAACCCACAAAUUGCUUUCAAAACUAUUGUUCUUGAGUAGUGCAGAGGUAGGCGGAAUUCCCGGUGUAGCGGUGGAAUGCGUAGAUAUCGGGAGGAACACCAGUGGCGAAGGCGGCCUACUGGGCACCAACUGACGCUGAGGCUCGAAAGUAUGGGUAGCAAACAGGAUUAGAUACCCUAGUAGUC
rnacentral:rRNA from 1 species